rnacentral:rRNA from 1 species
AUUGAACGCUGGCGGCAGGCUUAACACAUGCAAGUCGAGCGGAGAUGAGGUGCUUGCACCUUAUCUUAGCGGCGGACGGGUGAGUAAUGCUUAGGAAUCUGCCUAUUAGUGGGGGACAACAUUCCGAAAGGAAUGCCAAUACCGCAUACGUCCUACGGGAGAAAGCAGGGGAUCUUCGGACCUUGCGCUAAUAGAUGAGCCUAAGUCGGAUUAGCUAGUUGGUGGGGUAAAGGCCUACCAAGGCGACGAUCUGUAGCGGGUCUGAGAGGAUGAGCCGCCACACUGGGACUGAGACACGGCCCAGACUCCUACGGGAGGCAGCAGUGGGGAAUAUUGGACAAUGGGGGGAACCCUGAUCCAGCUAUGCCGCGUGUGUGAAGAAGGCCUUAUGGUUGUAAAGCACUUUAAGCGAGGAGGAGGCUACUGAGACUAAUACUCUUGGAUAGUGGACGUUACUCGCAGAAUAAGCACCGGCUAACUCUGUGCCAGCAGCCGCCGUAAUAC